UUUUGCUCUCGCGUGAAGAGAGGCCCAAGUGAGAUUAGCUAGUUGGUGAGGUAAAGGCUCACCAAGGCGACGAUCUCUAGCUGUUCUGAGAGGAAGAUCAGCCACACUGGGACUGAGACACGGCCCAGACUCCUACGGGAGGCAGCAGUGGGGAAUAUUGCACAAUGGGGGAAACCCUGAUGCAGCCAUGCCGCGUGUGUGAAGAAGGCCUUCGGGUUGUAAAGCACUUUCAGUUGUGAGGAAAGGUUGGUAGUUAAUACCUGCCAGCUGUGACGUUAACAACAGAAGAAGCACCGGCUAACUCCGUGCCAGCAGCCGCGGUAAUACGGAGGGUGCGAGCGUUAAUCGGAAUUACUGGGCGUAAAGCGCACGCAGGCGGUUUGUUAAGCUAGAUGUGAAAGCCCCGGGCUCAACCUGGGAUGGUCAUUUAGAACUGGCAGACUAGAGUCUUGGAGAGGGGAGUGGAAUUCCAGGUGUAGCGGUGAAAUGCGUAGAGAUCUGGAGGAACAUCAGUGGCGAAGGCGACUCCCUGGCCAAAGACUGACGCUCAUGUGCGAAAGUGUGGGUAGCGAACAGGAUUAGAUACCCUGGUAGUCCACACCGUAAACGCUGUCUACUACCUGUGUGUGUAUUUUAUACGUGCGUAGCGAAGCUAACGCGCUAAGUAGACCGCCUGGGGAGUACGGCCGCAAGGUUAAAACUCAAAUGAAUUGACGGGGGCCCGCACAAGCGGUGGAGCAUGUGGUUUAAUUCGAUGCAACGCGAAGAACCUUACCUACACUUGACAUGCAGAGAACUUUCUAGAGAUAGAUUGGUGCCUUCGGGAACUCUGACACAGGUGCUGCAUGGCUGUCGUCAGCUCGUGUCGUGAGAUGUUGGGUUAAGUCCCGCAACGAGCACAACCCUUGUCCUUAGUUGCCAGCAUUAAGUUGGGCACUCUAAGGAGACUGCCGGUGACAAACCGGAGGAAGGCGGGGACGACGUCAAGUCAUCAUGGCCCUUACGUGUAGGGCUACACACGUGCUACAAUGGCAAGUACAGAGGGAAGCGAGACAGUGAUGUGGAGCGGACCCCUUAAAGCUUGUCGUAGUCCGGAUUGGAGUCUGCAACUCGACUUCAUGAAGUCGGAAUCGCUAGUAAUCGCAGGUCAGCAUACUGCGA
rnacentral:rRNA from 1 species